rnacentral:lncRNA from 1 species
CUCUGCGGACAGGGCCAGGAGAGAUGCGCAGGGCUCCGGAGAGGUCUGCCCGCACCCCGGCCCGUGCCCAGGGAGCUCGGGCCCCAGCGAAGAGUGGCGCUCCAAGCCUCCUCGCAGCUCUCAGAUGUCACAUGUGGAAGCCACGCGGAUGGUCUGUCCCUGAGAUGAGUGAGAUACCAGCUGUCCAGGUUGCAUGUGUGCUGCUCGGAAACACAGGUGUGCACAGGUACAAGGUGUGUGAGUUGUAUUUAAGAGGUAGAACAGUUAUACUCACAGAUUGGUCCUGUUACAUGUGUAUCAAAUUUCAGAAGGAUGUGCCUCAUGGUUACAGCGCUUUCUCUCUUUCUCUCCUCUCCUUUUCUUCCUCCUUCCCUCCCCUCUUCCCUCUCCUUCACAACUCUCCCCUGCCUCUAUCCUUCCCAGUGUACGUAUUCUACCACCACUUGGGCGAAAAAACACAGCAGCCGGAGGGAGGCACUUGUUCGGAUUUCUCUCACUGUGAGACAUUUAUGCUGAUGUGUCUGCAAAGGCUCAUGGGAGCUGAUUUCUACGCGGACGGAGAAGAGCAGGCCCGCGCAGUGCGCACAGAGGCUGGGGCUGGAAUGUGUCUCUCCCCAAGGAUGUCGGGCAGCUCACGGUACCGAAGUUAGGCAAGGAAACGCAGUCUGCGAAGCGGGGCGGCGAUCGGCGCCACGGCGGCCCCAGGCCCCUGCGGUAGGCUUGGGGCUGGCGGUGGAGGCGCCCAGGGAGAGGGUACAGUCUCCUCCUGGCCGCUGCCGCAGGGCUCCAGGUGGGUGAGGCGGUCGCCCCGGGAAGCGGUCCGGGCGCGCUUGGAUUUAUUUAUCAGUCCUCUGGGGCGGGCUGGAUAGGGCCUGGCUCACUGGCGAGGUCCAGGUCCCCACCGGCGGGGCAUUUUGUGCCGAGCUGCGUGGGCUGCGGGGGGUGGGGGCGCCCUCU